rnacentral:tRNA from 1 species
GAAGGUAUAGCUCAAGUGGUAGAGCAUAUGCUUAGCAUAUACAAGGUCCUGGGUUCAAUCUCCAGUACCUCCU